UUUGCCUUGAAAAGUCUGAACUUGGCCAUUCCCACUGAAAGACCCGCUCAGAAUGCUUCUGCAUGCCCCCUGCUCCUCUGUCUUCCCUGCCUGUGCCGGUGCUGGGUGUUCUCUCUGGAGCAGGCGGGAGGAGCAGGUGACCCUGGGGACUGAGCAGGGCAGGGCCAGGGUUCGGCCAGGGGCUGGAGAGUGCAGCACAGACGGCGCCUGGAAGGGGAACUUGAGCUGGGAGAGCAGCAAUGCUGCUUGUCCAGGAGCCACCUCCAAGGCCAAGGACAUGGGGGCCGCAGAGCUGCCGGGGCCUCCCAAGCCUUCACCCCGGCAGGGCUCGCGCCCCCGGCCCGCCCCGCCUGGCACCGCGCUCCCCCCCUGCCGGAUCGCUCCGUCCCAAGUUCGUGGUUUCGCUGAUUCCUGGGUGCGGGUCUCCUUCUACGAAAGUACACCUUCUGAGGUCUUUCACCACAUGGGAGCUCAGUAAUUUUGGCAGCCCUGUGCACUUACUUCCGGAGACUUGCUGCACCCAGGGCCUUAUCACAAGGAAAUGAAAAGCAAGAAGCCAGACAACUGUGAUAAGGCACAUUCACCAGAUACAAACACCUUUGUGAAGGUCAGUCUUAACAAACCCAGGAUCUCUGGAGUCUACCACCCGUUAAUUAUCAUUAAUCACAUACAAAGACGAGGAGAACAAUACUUGUAAGUUACUGCAUUAAACAGUCAAGCACAGAAACCCCCAGGGAAUAUUCAAAGGAGGCAGACUCAACCCUGAGCAUGUCAUAAUGUGUGAAACAUUAUGGCUU
rnacentral:lncRNA from 1 species